CCUACGGGGGGCUGCAGUGAGGAAUAUUGGUCAAUGGGCGCGAGCCUGAACCAGCCAAGUAGCGUGAAGGAUGACUGCCCUACGGGUUGUAAACUUCUUUUAUAAAGGAAUAAAGUGAGGCACGUGUGCCUUUUUGUAUGUACUUUAUGAAUAAGGAUCGGCUAACUCCGUGCCAGCAGCCGCGGUAAUACGGAGGAUCCGAGCGUUAUCCGGAUUUAUUGGGUUUAAAGGGAGCGUAGAUGGGUUGUUAAGUCAGUUGUGAAAGUUUGCGGGUCAACCGUAAAAUUGCAAUUGAUACUGGCAGCCUUGAGUACGGGUGAGGUAGGCGGAAUGCGUGGUGUAGCGGUGAAAUGCUUAGAUAUCACGAAGAACUCCGAUUGCGAAGGCAGCUUACUAGACUGCCACUGACAUUGAUGCUCGAAAGUGUGGGUAUCAAACAGGAUUAGAUACCCUGGUAGUC
rnacentral:rRNA from 1 species